CCUACGGGAGGCAGCAGUGGGGAAUAUUGCACAAUGGGCGCAAGCCUGAUGCAGCGACGCCGCGUGCGGGAUGGAGGCCUUCGGGUUGUAAACCGCUUUUGUUCAAGGGCAAGGCACGGUCUGUGGCCGGGUUGAGUGGGUAGGUCGAAUAAGCACCGGCUAACUACGUGCCAGGAGCCGCGGUAUAACGUAGGGUGCAGGCGGUAUCCGGAUUUAUUGGGCGUGAAGGGCUCGUAGGCGGUUAGUCGCGUCCGGUGUGAAAGUCCAUCGCUGAACGGUGGAUCCGCGCCGGGUAGGGGCGGGCUUGAGUGCGGUAGAGGAGACUGGAAUGCCCGGUGUAGCGGUGACAUGUGUAGAUAUCGGGAAGAACACCAAUGGCGAAGGCAGGUCUCUGGGGCGUUACUGACGCUGAGGAGCGAAAGCGUGGGGAGUGAACAGGAUUAGAUACCCGAGUAGUC
rnacentral:rRNA from 1 species